rnacentral:rRNA from 1 species
AUUACCGAGUUUACAACUCCCAAACCCCUGUGAACAUACCUAUUGUUGCCUCGGCGGAUCAGCCCGGCCCCGGUAAAACGGGACGGCCCGCCAGAGGACCCUAAACUCUGUUUUUAGUGUAACUUCUGAGUAAAACAAACAAAUAAAUCAAAACUUUCAACAACGGAUCUCUUGGUUCUGGCAUCGAUGAAGAACGCAGCAAAAUGCGAUAAGUAAUGUGAAUUGCAGAAUUCAGUGAAUCAUCGAAUCUUUGAACGCACAUUGCGCCCGCCAGUAUUCUGGCGGGCAUGCCUGUUCGAGCGUCAUUUCAACCCUCAAGCACAGCUUGGUGUUGGGAUUUGCGGAGUAAUUCGCAGUCCCCAAAUCUAUUGGCGGUCACGUCGAGCUUCCAUAGCGUAGUAAUUACACCUCGUUACUGGUAAUCGUCGCGGCCACGCCGUUAAACCCCAACUUCUGAAUGUUGACCUCGGAUCAGGUAGGAAUACCCGCUGAACUUAAGCAUAUCAAUAAGCGGAGGAAAAGAAACCAACAGGGAUUGCCCUAGUAACGGCGAGUGAAGCGGCAACAGCUCAAAUUUGAAAUCUGGCUCUCGGGCCCGAGUUGUAAUUUGUAGAGGAUGCUUUUGAUGCGGUGCCUUCCGAGUUCCCUGGAACGGGACGCCAUAGAGGGUGAGAGCCCCGUCUGGUUGGAUGCCAAAUCUCUGUAAAGCUCCUUCAACGAGUCGAGUAGUUUGGGAAUGCUGCUCUAAAUGGGAGGUAUAUGUCUUCUAAAGCUAAAUACCGGCCAGAGACCGAUAGCGCACAAGUAGAGUGAUCGAAAGAUGAAAAGCACUUUGAAAAGAGAGUUAAAAAGUACGUGAAAUUGUUGAAAGGGAAGCGUUUAUGACCAGACUUGGGCUUGUUUAAUCAUCCGGGCUUCUGCCCGGUGCACUUGUUCAGCCCAGGCCAGCAUCAUUUUUCGCCGGGGGAUAAAGGCGGCGGGAAUGUGGCUCUCUUCGGGGAGUGUUAUAGCCCAUCGUGUAAUACCCUGGCGGGGAAUGAGGUCGCG